UACGGAGGGUGCAAGCGUUCUCCGGAUUUAUUGGGUUUAAAGGGUCCGUAGGCGGAUCUGUAAGUCAGUGGUGAAAUCUCACAGCUUAACUGUGAAACUGCCAUUGAUACUGCAGGUCUUGAGUGUUAUUGAAGUAGCUGGAAUAAGUAGUGUAGCGGUGAAAUGCAUAGAUAUUACUUAGAACACCAAUUGCGAAGGCAGGUUACUAAGCAACAACUGACGCUGAUGGACGAAAGCGUGGGGAGCGAACAGG
rnacentral:rRNA from 1 species